AGUGGCGAACUGGUGAGUAACACGUGGGUAACCUGCCCAGAAGAAGGGGAUAACACCCGGAAACAGAUGCUAAUACCGUAUAACAACAAGAAACCACAUGGUUCUUGUUUGAAAGCUGGCCUUUGUGCUAGUGCUUCUGGAUGGACCCGCGGCGUAUUAGCUAGUUGGUGAGAUAAUAGCUCACCAAGGCAAUGAUACGUAGCAGACCUGAGAGGGUAAUCUGCCACAAUGGGACUGAGACACGGCCCAUACUCC
rnacentral:rRNA from 1 species